UACAGAGGUGGCAAGCGUUGUUCGGAUUCAUUGGGCGUAAAGGGUCCGUAGGCGGUCCGGAAAGUCAGAUGUGAAAGCCCACAGCUCAACUGUGGAACUGCAUUUGAAACUCUCGGACUGGAGCGUGAGAGGGGUAAAGGGAAUUCCCAGUGUAAGGGUGAAAUCUGCAGAGAUUGGGAAGAACACCAGUCGCGAAGGCGCUUUACUGGCUCACUGCUGACGCUGAGGGACGAAAGCUAGGGUAGCAAACGGG
rnacentral:misc_RNA from 1 species